rnacentral:rRNA from 1 species
UAAGGAAUAUUGCUCAAUGGGAGAAAUCCUGAAGCAGCAACGCCGCGUGGAGGAUGAAGGGUCUAUGACUUGUAAACUCCUGUAAGGAAGGAAAAAAUUCCCAUUAGAUGGGAGAUGAUGGUACUUCUGGAGUAAGCCCCGGCUAGCUACGUGCCAGCAGCCGCGGUAAUACGUAGGGGGCAAGCGUUGUCCGGAUUUACUGGGUGUAAAGGGUGCUCAGGCGGAUUUGUAAGUCAGAGGUGAAAUCUUACAGCUUAACUGUGAAACUGCCUUUGAUACUGCAAGCCUAGAGUAUGGAAGAGAGUGAUGGAAUAUCUGGUGUAGCAGUGAAAUGCGUAGAUAUCAGAUAGAACACCAAUGGCGAAGGCAGUCACUUGGUCCAUUACUGACGCUAAAGCACGAAAGCGUGGGUAGCAAACA